UAUCUAUGGUGGGGACACAGAUUUAACAGAUCUUUAAAAUGCUCUCAAGCUUGAUAGGUAGUUCCAUUUUCCUUCUGAGUGAAAUUCGAGAUCUGUCGUUUCAAAUU
rfam:Morus notabilis contig12004, whole genome shotgun sequence.